rnacentral:rRNA from 1 species
UACGAGGGGGGCGAGCGUUGUUCGGAAUUAUUGGGCGUAAAGGGUGCGUAGGCGGUUUGGUAAGUCUUGUGUGAAAUCUCUGGGCUCAACUCAGAGUCUGCUGUAGAAACUGCCGUGCUUGAGUGUGGGAGAGGUGAGUGGAAUUCCGAGUGUAGAGGUGAAAUGCGUAGAUAUCGGGAGGAACACCUGUGGCGAAAGCGGCUCACUGGACCACAACUGACGCUGAGGCGCGAAAGCUAGGGGAGCAAACAGG